AAAAAGACAAACCCUGAAUUUCCGUGUCCAACGUUUGAUUGUUCGUCUUAUAUGAAUUUUUUUUAUAAUUAGUAUUUUUUAUUAUUGUUAGAUGAUAAAAUAUGAUUAAUACUUUAUACGUGGCUUGUCUUUUUAAUUUUUUUUAUAUUUUUUUUAAGUAAGACGGACGAUCGACAUGAAACCCAAG
rfam:Oryza glaberrima chromosome 3 Oglab03_0092_1, whole genome shotgun sequence.